rnacentral:rRNA from 1 species
UACGUAGGGGGGCAAGCGUUGUCCGGAUUUAUUGGGCGUAAAGCGCGUGUAGGCGGCUGGGUAGGUCCGCUGUGAAAACUCGAGGCUCAACCUCGAGACGUCGGCGGAAACCAUCCAGCUAGAGUCCGGAAGAGGAGAGUGGAAUUCCUGGUGUAGCGGUGAAAUGCGCAGAUAUCAGGAAGAACACCCGUGGCGAAAGCGGCUCUCUGGGACGGUACUGACGCUGAGACGCGAAAGCGUGGGGAGCGAACAGG